rnacentral:rRNA from 1 species
UAAAUCAGUUAUCGUUUAUUUGAUAGUACCUUACUACUUGGAUAACCGUGGUAAUUCUAGAGCUAAUACAUGCUAAAAACCCCGACUUCGGAAGGGGUGUAUUUAUUAGAUAAAAAACCAAUGCCCUUCGGGGCUCUUUGGUGAUUCAUAAUAACUUAACGGAUCGCAUGGCCUUGCGCCGGCGACGGUUCAUUCAAAUUUCUGCCCUAUCAACUUUCGAUGGUAAGGUAUUGGCUUACCAUGGUUUCAACGGGUAACGGGGAAUUAGGGUUCGAUUCCGGAGAGGGAGCCUGAGAAACGGCUACCACAUCCAAGGAAGGCAGCAGGCGCGCAAAUUACCCAAUCCCGACACGGGGAGGUAGUGACAAUAAAUACUGAUACAGGGCUCUUUUGGGUCUUGUAAUUGGAAUGAGUACAAUUUAAACCCCUUAACGAGGAACAAUUGGAGGGCAAGUCUGGUGCCAGCAGCCGCGGUAAUUCCAGCUCCAAUAGCGUAUAUUAAAGUUGUUGCAGUUAAAAAGCUCGUAGUUGAAACUUGGGCCUGGCUGGCCGGUCCGCCUCACCGCGUGUACUGGUCCGGCCGGGCCUUUCCUUCUGGAGAGCCUCAUGCCCUUCACUGGGUGUGUUGGGGAACCAGGACUUUUACUUUGAAAAAAUUAGAGUGUUCAAAGCAGGCCUUUGCUCGAAUACGUUAGCAUGGAAUAAUAGAAUAGGACGUGCGAUCCUAUUUUGUUGGUUUCUAGGACCGCCGUAAUGAUUAAUAGGGAUAGUCGGGGGCAUCAGUAUUCAAUUGUCAGAGGUGAAAUUCUUGGAUUUAUUGAAGACUAACUACUGCGAAAGCAUUUGCCAAGGAUGUUUUCAUUAAUCAGUGAACGAAAGUUAGGGGAUCGAAGACGAUCAGAUACCGUCGUAGUCUUAACCGUAAACUAUGCCGACUAGGGAUCG